rnacentral:rRNA from 1 species
GCUUUCAAAAAGAAAGCAUGUGCACGCCUGAUUCAAUCCACUCUUAAACCUCUGUGCACUUACUGUAGGCUUAGGUAAUAGAGGGGCUUGUAAGAGUCCUGAUAGAGCCUGGUCUAUGCUUUUAUAAACGCUUUAGUCUAAGAAUGUUACUCGCGUUUAACGCAAUAAAUACAACUUUCAGCAACGGAUCUCUUGGCUCUCGCAUCGAUGAAGAACGCAGCGAAAUGCGAUAAGUAAUGUGAAUUGCAGAAUUCAGUGAAUCAUCGAAUCUUUGAACGCACCUUGCGCUCCUUGGUAUUCCGAGGAGCAUGCCUGUUUGAGUGUCAUGAAAUUCUCAACCCAUAAAUCCUUGUGAUCUAUGGGCUUGGAUUUGGAGGCUUGCUGGCCGUAACGGUCGGCUCCUCUUGAAUGCAUUAGCUUGAUUCCGUGCGGAUCGGCUCUCAGUGUGAUAAUUGUCUACGCUGUGACCGUGAAGCGUUUUGGCGAGCUUCUAACCGUCCAUUUGGACAAUUUUAUAACAUCUGACCUCAAAUCAGGUAGGACUACCCGCUGAACUUAAGCAUAUCAAUAAGCGGAGGAAAAGAAACUAACAAGGAUUCCCCUAGUAACUGCGAGUGAAGCGGGAAAAGCUCAAAUUUAAAAUCUGGCAGCCUUUGGUUGUCCGAGUUGUAGUCUGGAGAAGCGUCUUCCGCGC